rnacentral:misc_RNA from 1 species
GAGGAAAGUCCGGGCUCCAUAGGGCAGGGUGCCAGGUAACGCCUGGGGGGGAAACCCACGACCAGUGCAACAGAGAGCAAACCGCCGAUGGCCCGCGCAAGCGGGAUCAGGUAAGGGUGAAAGGGUGCGGUAAGAGCGCACCGCGCGGCUGGUAACAGUCCGUGGCACGGUAAACUCCACCCGGAGCAAGGCCAAAUAGGGGUUCAUAAGGUACGGCCCGUACUGAACCCGGGUAGGCUGCUUGAGCCAGUGAGC